rnacentral:lncRNA from 1 species
GCUCUGAUACCACUAUUAGAUUCCAAUCAUGUAGCAAAAAAUAAUUUUUAAAAUUUUUUAAAAUACUCAAAUCAAUAGCUAUAUCAAAUAAAACUAUCGAGUCGAACCUAAAACCCUAGAAUCACCUUGUCGAACACGAUCAAAGCAAGUUCAAGCAUAUAAAGAGAUAGAAUAUUAUACUUUAACUAAAAUAAAAAAGUGGCACAUUAGUGUUCUCCAUAAGAUCUCAAGAUUGAAGUCCUCCAACGGUGAUCCACACGAAAGUUGGCCAAGAUCCUUCCCAACCAGUGUGCAGCUGUAGCCUUCUCUUUUCAAGAACACUACCAGCUUCAAACUUGUGUCAUGAUCGCACCAAAGCCCAGUUACUUUUGAUCUUACCCCCAAAAUGACAAUAAGAAGACACUCUUCAGAUGUAAUACAACUUAGGAUUUAAUUUUUAUCUCUAACACAUAGAAAAACCAAAUCCUAGGGCAUUCUAGCAAUACUUGCUAAAAAUCUCACCACCCUUGUAGCAAGAUUUGCCACUCAAAUUAUCCUCUUUUUUUUAUUAAUUUUUUUUCAAAUUUUUUCAUGUUAUUUCUAUGUCUCUUCUCUCUAGUUCAUAUAAAAAUCUUAGCUAGAAGCUAUCUGGG